GCACCAGACUCCUACGGGAGGCAGCAGUGGGGGAUAUUGCACAAUGGGGGGAACCCUGAUGCAGCGACGCCGCGUGAGUGAAGGAGCGUUUCGGCGCGUAAAGCCCUAUCGGCAGGGAAGAAGGAGGACGGUACCUGACUAAGAAGCCCCGGCUAACUACGUGCCAGCAGCCGCGGUAAUACGUAGGGGGCAAGCGUUAUCCGGAUUUACUGGGUGUAAAGGGAGCGUAGACGGCAAUGCAAGCCAGAUGUGAAAGCCCGGGGCUCAACCCCGGGACUGCAUUUGGAACUGUGUAGCUGGAGUGUCGGAGAGGCAGGCGGAAUUCCUAGUGUAGCGGUGAAAUGCGUAGAUAUUAGGAGGAACACCAGUGGCGAAGGCGGCCUGCUGGACGAUGACUGACGUUGAGGCUCGAAAGCGUGGGGAGCAAACAGGAUUAGAUACCCCAGUA
rnacentral:rRNA from 1 species